UAAUAAGAGUUUAGGACCACAAUGUAAAU
rnacentral:sRNA from 1 species